UAUGUCUCUUAUUUUUUAACAGUAAAGAAAGAAAUCAUGUCAGUUUUAGGAAAAAUAGAUCUACCUGCAGAAAAGCAGCAAGUUGUCCUUUUAGGGGAGAGAUGGCAAUAUUGCUAGUGCUCUUCAUUCAAGUCUCUUUGAAGAGUGUUGCAGCCAGCAGCACUCAAUGGUCUGCGUAGAAUUGCACCGUGAGAAGCAGUUGUAUCAGUUGUUAGAGGCAAGCUUCCUAGCAUUCCAUUUGAGAGGCAUAGGUGGUUAUUAUUUCUUCAUCUUUUGUGCAUGAGGAUAUCAU